rnacentral:rRNA from 1 species
ACAAUCGAGUCAUGAUUUACGUUCUCUGAUUUGGGCUUGCUCGAGUCAGUUGAACCGCAAUCAGAAAAUGACUCACUAUAAGCGGGAGUUUGAUUCAGUUCCAAACUCUUUUACUUUGAUUAAAUCAAGGUGCUUAAAGCAAAAUCUUCUGUUAAUGAAUGAUGAAGCAUGGUAUAAAAUGAAAAACAGAACAGAGAUCAAUAUUGAAUUAUGGGGAUGGUUCGCCAUUCGAAUAUUUCAGUUUUUUGUUUUGUUUCAAACAAGAUUAAGAGAAAUGAUUAGGGUGAUUUAGAUAGGAACGGGAGAGGUGGAAUUCCAUGAUCGUUUCGAGAUAAACGAGAGCGAAAGCAUUUCACUG